rnacentral:tRNA from 1 species
GGAGAGGUGCAGGAGCGGCUGAACUGGCACGCCUGGAAAGCGUGUAGGGGGUCACAAGCUUCCUCGAGGGUUCGAAUCCCUCCCUCUCCG